rnacentral:rRNA from 1 species
CAAUAGCCGCGGUAAUACAGAGGGUGCGAGCGUUAAUCGGAUUUACUGGGCGUAAAGCGUGCGUAGGCGGCUUCUUAAGUCGGAUGUGAAAUCCCUGAGCUUAACUUAGGAAUUGCAUUCGAUACUGGGAAGCUAGAGUAUGGGAGAGGAUGGUAGAAUUCCAGGUGUAGCGGUGAAAUGCGUAGAGAUCUGGAGGAAUACCGAUGGAGAAGGCAGCCAUCUGGCCUAAUACUGACGCUGAGGUACGAAAGCAUGGGGAGCAAACAGGAUUAGAUACCCCUGUAGUCCCUGUCUCUUAUAC